ensembl:lncRNA TAGAP-AS1 TAGAP antisense RNA 1
GACUCCGCCCAGCCGCGCCACCCAGAAGCUACAAAUCUUCAGCAUUCUCCACUCUGUGAAGUCAGAGGAAUGGCGGGACCAUAGCUCUGAGCUCAUUGGCAAAUACAACUAAUUUCAAUUUCUGGAAUGGAAGCAGUCAGAUAUUCUUCUGACUGCACGCGUAUGUGGGAGUGCCAUGUUGAAGAGUGGAAAAUAUGGAAGAUCAGUCCCUACAAACUUAAUAGGAGAAUGACAUUCAGAUUUCCCGAGUAUUUUGCAUGUCCAACUGAAAACUGAAGUAGGUUUAUGAGAGAAUGCACGCCUACCUGGAUGGGUCUGGGGAGUGUGUCACUGUCACCGCAGAUAAUUGACAAGGGCUGAUCAAAUAGCGAUGCUUUCAAGUCUGUCUCCAAAGCCCCAGAAAAAUCUGAUGCAGGGGAGAGCCUUCUCAUGAGAAAGGGCCAGGACAGCACCUUCUUUCUCUUCUUAACUUCUACAGCCAAGAAAACAAGGCAACGAGAAAAAUUAGACUACAGUGUUAAGAAGCAAAGAUCCAGGAGAUAGGAUGGAGUGUCACCAAGAUAGAAGACAAAAACAUAAGCUGUGAAAUGUGAUUAUAAAGUAGUGACAUGAGUGCCAGAAACCACGGAGGAAACGUCUCCUUGUUCUGGAUCCACACUUCAUACGUGGUCAUUGAAACGUGGCAUCAAACGGGAGGAAUGUGAUGGGCCAGGUUAGGGGAAGAGCACCAAGCAGGGCCUUUCCCUGGGAGAUGGCACCACGUGACAUGCUUCAUACGGAAGCACAUGGGCCCUCAGCGCUGGUAUCUUGCUUCACCUGGGGAUGGUGAUGAAAUGAUGCAGAGCUGACUCAAUACGAUACAGAGCUGACUCAAUACGAUGUGUGGGAUCUUCCAUCGUGAAGCAGCUGGGAGCACCAGGAGGCAGGUUUUCCCGUGCUUAUGGAAAGCACCACAUUGUUCUGCUGGGGACAUGUUCUUUUACUCCAAGGAGUAGUGGAUGUGCAAUGGGCUGUCCUGCCCGUAGAGAUGUGUGGGGCUGGCUGCUGAGAACAGAUGGCAACUGGCUGGCUCUGAUGCCUCAGAAGAGGUGAAUGCAUUCGGAGAGGCCACAGCUGAGAGUCCCUCAAACUGGGGAGUUAUUAUUCUAAAAGUUGGAUUUUUAGCAAGAUUUUACCAGGUAACACGUUAUUUGAAUUGGCUGUGACUGAAUUUGAGGAACAACGCGCCCACCCCAGAGAUGGACAGUGGCCUGUUUUCAGGAGAUGGCAGCAUUGAUGACUGGGACAUUGUAUCUCCUCAUUCAAGGGAGAGAAUGGGAAUGCCUCCAUUUCUUAUGAAAGAGGCCCCACAACUUGUUAAGUUGAAACAUGGAUGUCUUGGGAGUUCCAAAGCUCACAGAGGGGAGUGUGUGGAAGCAAAGCCCAGGGCAGGCUGUGCCGAGUAUGGAGCUUUGGUUUCUCAGUCCCAAACCUGCCAUCCUCCACCCCGAGAUGCUGGGCUGGGACGUUGCAAAUCAAUGCCUGCCUUGCUGCCUGGCUCCCUGUGAGGUCCUGCUGAUUGGGCCGCUGCAGGCUGGAGGAGGGGGAAGGGACUUGCUCCUUCCUGAGCCUGUUCCAUCAGCCGGGGUCCUGGGAUGAAGGUAACGUGGAGCAGAGUUGCAGCUGAUCCACGAUGUGUUAGCGCAAGCAAGAAAUAAACUUUUGUGAUCCUAAGCCACGGGGGUUUUUAAGUUGUUUGUUAGAGCAUGACCUAUCCUAUCCUGACUGCUGUACAAAAUUAAGCAAUUUCUGUUUGGCAGGAUUUCCCAGACCCUCCGGAAGGCUGCUGUGCUGUGUCAAUCUUUAAAAUGGGAAUGAGGUAUAUCAUUUUUCCCAGUCUUAAUGCCCAAGACUUUCUUAAUGAAAUCAUCUACUGGGACUUGAACUGCUGUUCCAAAGAAGUUAAUGGGAUAAAUGGCUACGUGUGUUCUGUGCAUGAGUCAUCUUCUUCCAAUGAGAUUGAAAGCCCCUCAGUGGAGUAGCAUAGCAUCCAACACAGAGUUCAAUUCAACAAACUUGUUGAUAAAAAAAUCUCAUCCUUUCCUGCCACCUCCAUGCCCCACCCCAUGCUGAAAGAUUUAUUUGUAAUACCUGUUUCUUGCUUCGUGAACCAAGUUAAGCAGUCAGUGCAUCCUGCUCAUGUCAUAUGAGGCCCUGUCUCGCCCAUGGAACUACCACUGACUUCUUUUUAUUUACUUAUUUUUGAGACAGAGUCUUGCUCUGUCACCCAGGCUGGAGGACAGUGGUGUGAUCUUGGCUCACUGCAACCUCCACCUCCUGCGUUCAAGUGAUCUUUCCACCUCAGCCUCCCGAGUAACUGGGACUACAGGUGUGCACCACCACACCUGGCUAAUUUUUUUGUAUUUUUAGUAGAGAGAUGGUUUCACCAUGUUGGCUAGCUGGUCUCGAAUUCCCGACCUCAAGUGAUCUGCCUACCUCGGCCUCCCAAAGUGUUGGGAUUACAGGCGUGAGUCACCAUGUCUGGCCACUACUACUGACUUCUACAAGUGCUCCCUUCUGGGGCAGCGCCUGGGAGGCAAAGAGCUGUGUGAGAAGCUUAUUUCCAGAAGAGGUGAUGAAGGUAAAUCAAUAAGAUUCCGAUGCUGUAAACUGGUCAAGUGUCACUCUGCAGCAGACAUGCAG